AUUAAUAAUAUUAUAUAUAGAUAAAUUGGACCUCAAGUUUAUAACUUGCCAUUAAUUCAUGUCAGGACAACAAUGGUGUUUCCUACCUAAAGAACAUUGUCCUUGUUAUCGGGUUACCCUCGGUAACACACAACCAGACGCUGCACAUUAACAAUGAGACCAUCCAUAGUAGAGGAGUCGGACAGAAGGUACAUAGAAAGCGUGUGCAUUGUCUUCUCUAUUAUAGGAUGUGAGGAUGUGAUGUCAUUUUCCUAACACUAGCUAUUAAAACCACAGAUUUAAUGGCCUAAGAAAUUGAUGUGUACCAUUCACACUAAGGUACUACGGACAUAUGGAUCGGCCAUUGUCGUGCCUUUUGUGAUAGUAGUUGCUACUUUUUGUCAACAUUAAGUCACUAUCAAUCAAGGCAUCUGAACAUAAUGAAUGAAAACUAAGGGAACCUGUGAUCAACCAACAACAAGAUGGCCACAUAAACAUCUUACUUAUCUUAAGCCAACUUAUUUCUGUUGAAUUGUCCAUGAACUAGUAUGGCUGUGCAUAUAAAUUGCUAUGAGAUAUGAACACGAACGUGGGUAUUUAGGAGACCAUUUGCAUACUAUCACGACUCUCUUAAACUCCAUAACUUAUAAGUCAAAUUACAACAACAUGGACUACUAUCCAACACCCUAGGAGCGUGCCAUUAGGUACUUGUCGCCAUGUGCAAAACUUGUAGUUUGGUCGAGGUAGUUUUUUACUGCAUGUUUGCUUUUCGUUGAUCGACAUGGCCACUCACCCACACACGGUUGCAAAAAAUGUGUGUUCCGAUCACAUCACACUUAGUUCGACAAAUAAAUCAUUUGGCAUAAAGGUAAACCAUUGAAUGUGUUUUUAGUUAAUCGUUCAAUUAUUGGAAAUCAUGUUGGCCCUCAAGAAACUGGUCUACCAUUAGAAAAAUCCUGAAAUGACUUGAAUUAUAAUAUUCAAGCCAUGUUUAAUACUCCCUUGAAUCCAUAAUUUAGUACCAUUUUUUAAUUAGACCUCUCCAACUUUGACGAUAUUUGUGGAGAAAAACAUUUACAUCUAUAAUGCCAAGUAUAUAUCAUUAUAUUCAUCGAACACUAUAGUUGUAUGUUAUAUAUAUUGUGUUGUAGAUGUAAAUAGUUUUCUCUACAGAUUUGAGAUAUGUUUGACUUUUAAGAGCUAAUUAGAUGCACUAUUUUAUGGAAUAGAGGGAGUAUAUUUUAUACAUAACAAUUUGU
rnacentral:lncRNA from 1 species